UGAGGAACAUGACUUUCGGUGGGGGAGUAGCCGGCCCAACGGCCGGGUAAUACCGCGUACGACCUUUUGGGGACAUCCCCGAUUGGUGAAAGCAGCAAUGCGCCGAAAGAGUGCCUCGCGGCCUAUCAGCUAGUUGGUGGGGUAACGGCUCACCAAGGCAACGACGGGUAGCUGGUCUGAGAGGAUGGCCAGCCACAGUUGGGACUGAGACACGGUCCAGACCUCCGUACGGGGAGCAG
rnacentral:rRNA from 1 species